UGUAUUCAGGCUCUUCCUUCAGAGGGUCAGCUUUGCCAGAGAGAUAUCAAUGAAUGUGAAGAUGCUUUGUCAGUGUGUGGCCAGUACUCAAAUUGUACUAACAUCAUUGGGAGCCACAUGUGUUCAUGCUGGAGUGGAUUUACUGCCUCCAAUAAAGACAGUCCAGUGAGCCGCAACAACUCAUGUCAGGAUAUAGAUGAAUGUCUGGUCAGUCCAUCUGUAUGUGGUCCAAAUUCCAUCUGUACUAAUGUAUUGGGAUUUUACAAUUGCUCAUGCUUGGAUGGAUUCACUGCAACAAACACAAAUCUCACUAACAGCAU